AUCCUCCUCCGUUCCUCCUCCUGGGCUGAAUGCGCACGCGCGGCAAGAGCUGCGCGCGCAUUCAGCCCGUCGCAUAGGAAAGCAUUUACAAUGCUUUCCUAUGGACGCUUGCGUGCUCUCAUUGUGAAAAUCACAGUGAGAAGCACGCAAGCGCCUCUAGUGGCUGUCAAUGAGACAGCCACUAGAGGAUUAGGGGGAAGGCUUAACCCAUUCAUAAACAUAG